AUUGAACGCUGGCGGCAGGCUUAACACAUGCAAGUCGAGCGAGCGGCGGACGGGUGAGUAAUGUCUGGGAAACUGCCUGAUGGAGGGGGAUAACUACUGGAAACGGUAGCUAAUACCGCAUACCAUCGGAUCUGCCCAGCUGGGAUUCGCUAGUAGGUGGGGUAAUGGCUCACCUAGGCGACGAUCCCUAGCUGGUCUGAGAGGAUGACCAGCCACACUGGGACUGAGACACGGCCCAGACUCCUACGGGAGGCAGCAGUGGGGAAUAUUGCACAAUGGGCGAAAGCCUGAUGCAGCCAUGCCGCGUGUGUGAAGAAGGUCUUCGGGUUGUAAAGCACUUUCAGCGGGGAGGCGGUACUUGAAGAAGAAGCACCGGCUAACUACGUGCCAGCAGCCGCGGUAAUAC
rnacentral:rRNA from 1 species